rnacentral:lncRNA from 1 species
CCUUUAACUCCUGAAGCACCCACUUCUGCUCACCUCUCUCACUUCUGGACAUUGAAACACAAGUACUUUAUAUUUCGUAGUGAAGCUACCAUUGCAAUGACUCGAUAAUGAUAACCACUAAGUUAUCAUAGAUAACAAUAAAGGAAAACAAAUAAUUUUUACCAUAAACGCUCUUGGAAAACACUUGCCCAUACUCUUAAAAGAGAAUAAGAACUGAGAGGUAGUAAACUUAAAGCAAGCUUGAAUCUAAAAACAUAAAUGGUAAAUCUCAUAGUCUUUGGAAGAAAAUAAGAGGUACUAAAUGGAAAGUGGAAUUAUUUACCCAAAAAAUUAAAACAAAGAUAUGAAAGACAAAAAUAUAAAGCCAUAGAUGAUGAGGAAAAGCUUGUUAGAAAACAGGGGACCAUCAUUAUUUGGUAGAUCCUCAAUCUUAUCAGUAGCAUCUUCAACUACCCCCAUUGCCCAAAGAUUGUGCAUCCAUAUGAACAAAAAACAAAUACAAGAAAAGAUUACAAUAUCAAAUCUUACCAUCUACAAAUAAACAAGAGGAACGUGUUUAUAGAAAAGAUAGAAAAAAAUUCACCUAUAGUUAUAAAGCAUGAAAAUUGAAUGUUUAAUUCAAAAUGAUUGAAAAAAAGAAAAUUCUCACAGGAUUAUCAAACACUAAUUGAGCUUGCCAGGUAAUUCACAAUACAUUAAGUCAGUAAGAAUAUCCAGUAGACUAAGCAUGGCAUAAUAAAAAGGCAGCUUAAUGGGCAUACAUACUAUAUAAUGAAUCAGUAUGUGAGCUCUCAAUUGAGAAACCAUGUCAUCAUCCCAUCUUUUCUUGUAAUGUGAGCCCUUCCCUAAAAUAAGAAUAACAUACUGAGAAAUUAUUAUCUUAUAGUAAUAUGUCUUUUCUUCGUCCCAAAAUAAGUGUAACUUUAACAAAAAAAUUAUUCUAAAAUAGCAUCACCUUAGAAAUUGAAGACAAUUUUAUAUGUUUCUCAACUUAUAUCCUCAUACUUCAUUUUCUUAAUAAUGUUCAAUCAAUUCUCAUGAUAUAUCUAUUAAAUAGGUAUACUAUAGUAACUAUACAUUAUAUUUAUUAAUUUUUUAAUGAACAUGAUGUUUUCUAAAGUGACACUUAUUUUGAGACGAAGGAAAUCAAUUUAAUGUCUACAAAAUCAUACCAAUGAACUUCCAUUGAAAGUACUAAAUCAUCCAGAACUGAUCCAUGUAUAGCAUAGGAUCUAUAGUAGAAGCAAGAUGCUAAGAGACUGAAAAGUUAAGAUCAGAGAAACUAGAAUAAUUAACACAUAGCACAAUAAAGGAACUAAAGCACCUAAAAUGUUAACAAUCCAACUCUACUUGAGAAAAAAUUCAAUCAAUACUACUGAAAAAAAGGUAAAAAACUAAACAUACAAUUAACUCAAUCCUUCACACAUUAAAAGAAAAUAUACAGGGAACAAGCCUGCACCUCAAUGAAGUACAAAUAUUUUGUUUAUAGAAAUCACAUAACACCAUUAGUCAAAAAGUAUUAAACAACUAAAGUCUAAGGUACAAUCGAACUAAUUAUGCAUAAGAAAAAUCUAAGAACACUAGAACACCUAUGGUUUUGCUCAUUUGUAGGUUGUCUAUGUGCAAGUUCAGCAAUAGAAACUAAGAGAGAUGUAUCAAACUUGUAAUUAUACAUAAGAAGCAACUAAGAACAAUAGAACACCUCUGAUUUUUCUCAUUUUUAGCUUGUCUAUGAGCAAGUUCAGAAACAGAUAUUAAGAGAGACAAAUUAAGCUUGUAAUUAUACAUAAAAAGCAACUAAGAACAGAUCCCAUAAAUUUCAAAGAACAUUUGUAAAGUUUAAGCUAAAAUUGCAAAAUUUUCCACUAUACAUAUGCAGAUUUCCCUUAGAAUAGAUCCCAUAAAUUUCAAAGAGAACAAAAAUAGCAAGAAAUCAUAAAAAGUGAAAAAGAUUUACGAAAAUAACUAAACCUGAUGUGGGUUACCUUCGUCUCUUAAGGAUAUCAAAGAAGGAAAAAGAAGUAAUAGAGUCCAAAAAGAAAAUUACCUCAAGAACUUUAAAAGCAUCAGCUGCAGAUAUCCCGACCACCAUGAGAUUGAUUUGGAUUUGGCUAGGGCUUCUGGGAUUAUUUCUCAAUAUAUCCCCAUCUUAGUUGUCUUUUUCUUGUUAAAUUAAAGAACGAAGGAGAGAAGAAUACAAG